UUUAUAUGAAGGUCUGUUACAGACGUCUCCAAGAAUUUGUUCACCUGAUUCGAAUAUAGAUGAAGAUAUUAAGUUUACGGACAAGAAUUUAAGGAGCUAACGGAUCUAACCACAAUAUUCCAAUGGAUUGUAGAGAUAAAUUAACAAAGUGGAAGAAGUAAGUUUAUUGUUAUUAUCUUCGACAGAGAGUUAGCAUUGAAUGGUGGGCAAAGUUCAACAUUGAAUUACAAUGAUAAGUAAGCUAACUUCAGGAUACAGAGGACACUAGGACAAUAUCUAUGUCUGAAGAACUUGGACGGGAUUGGAGAGUUUCCGCUAGCGAAAUAUAUUUCAGACCUUUCUGAACAAUCUCCCGAUACGGACAAUGUUUUUUGAAUAGACAUAUUGGCAGGAAUGAUAGAGCGAUAGGUUUGGAGAUAAGAACUCAAAAUUCAUGUUCUUAUUUUUUUUCGAAAUCAAUUGGGCCGAGAAAAGAAAGCCGAUUUUCUGUUAUAAAAAUGCCUGUUGAGUCCACUAAUAUAUUAUUUGGAUAAUAUAUCUCGAUUCAAGAA